rnacentral:rRNA from 1 species
UACGUAGGGACCAAGCGUUGUUCGGAUUUAUUGGGCGUAAAGAGCGUGUAGGCGGCCAUACAGGUCAGCUGUGAAAACUCGAGGCUCAACCUCGAGACGUCGGUUGAAACCGUUUGGCUAGAGUCCGGAAGAGGAGAGUGGAAUUCCCGGUGUAGCGGUGAAAUGCGCAGAUAUCGGGAAGAACACCCGUGGCGAAGGCGGCUCUCUGGGACGGUACUGACGCUGAGACGCGAAAGCGUGGGGAGCGAACAGG